GCCAGGUGUGGUGGUGUGCACCUGUAGUCCCAGCUACUUGGGAGGCUGAGGCGGAAGAAUUGCUUGAACCCAGGAGGCUGAGGUUGCAGUGAGCCAAGAUCGUCCCACUGCACUCCAGCCUGGGUGACAUAGCAAGACUCUGUCUCAA
ensembl:misc_RNA Metazoa_SRP Metazoan signal recognition particle RNA